UACGUAGGGUGCAAGCGUUUAAUCGGAAUUACUGGGCGUAAAGCGUGCGCAGGCGGUGAUGUAAGACAGGUGUGAAAUCCCCGGGCUUAACCUGGGAACUGCAUUUGUGACUGCAUCGCUGGAGUGCGGCAGAGGGGAUGGAAUUCCGCGUGUAGCAGUGAAAUGCGUAGAUAUGCGGAGGAACACCGAUGGCGAAGGCAAUCCCCUGGGCCUGCACUGACGCUCAUGCACGAAAGCGUGGGAGCAACAGG
rnacentral:rRNA from 1 species